CCUACGGGAGGCAGCAGUGAGGAAUAUUGGACAAUGGGCGAGAGCCUGAUCCAGCCAUGCCGCGUGCAGGAUGACUGCCCUAUGGGUUGUAAACUGCUUUUAUAUAGGAAGAAACCUUUCCACGUGUGGAAAGCUGACGGUACUAUAAGAAUAAGGAUCGGCUAACUCCGUGCCAGCAGCCGCGGUAAUACGGAGGAUCCAAGCGUUAUCCGGAAUCAUUGGGUUUAAAGGGUCCGUAGGUGGAUAAUUAAGUCAGAGGUGAAAUCCUGCAGCUCAACUGUAGAAUUGCCUUUGAUACUGGUUAUCUUGAAUUAUUGUGAAGUGGUUAGAAUAUGUAGUGUAGCGGUGAAAUGCAUAGAUAUUACAUAGAAUACCAAUUGCGAAGGCAGAUCACUAACAAUAUAUUGACACUGAUGGACGAAAGCGUGGGGAGCGAACAGGAUUAGAUACCCUGGUAG
rnacentral:rRNA from 1 species